UCUCUCUUUGGGUUGACUUGUGUAAGUGUUCUUUCUACCAGUGACGCUAACUGAUUAUCUGAUAUUCCUAGGGAGUCAAAAGAUGUUCUGACAGGACAUGUAAGAAUAUACCUGUUCCCUUCAAAUCACAGUGUGUCUAGUGCAUCGAAACAAACUCAUUUCUGCUAAAUACAAUUUCUAUGAGCCUGGGGCAGGAUUUUCAGAAGCACCAGUCCCCAUUUUAAAAGUGAACCCCUGGACUGCUACUGCAGCUGCAAACAGCAGGACUUGGCAGGAGCAAUCACAACAGGCUACAGAGUCUGAACAAAAUAUAAAAUCACAAGAAGAUAACUGAAUAGAUCUCAGAGAUUUUUGAUGAACUUCAACAGUGGGGGGAGAACAAAGUUGUUUAAAAGUAGGGUGACCAUCCAUCCCGUUUUGGCCGGGACAUCCUUUUUUUAAUCCAUAGGCAAGAGCAACCAGGACAAAUGCCCACCUUUGUCAAAAACAUGGGGUACAGAGGAAUGCGUGAGGGGUGAGCAGAGAUGGGGGGGAAGGGCUCUAGUGCGCAGGAGGUCGGCAGGGUUUGAGCAACCAGCGACAGUCUCAUGGGGUGGGGGGUGGACACCUCGGGUGAGCAGCUGGAGCUAGCCCCACAGGAAUGGGGAGGUGCUCAGGCCAGACCCGUGCAGUGUCCUGUUUUCCCUUUGGGAAGUAUGGUCACCCUAUUUAAAAGGGUAUUGAAAAUAAAUGCAAAGACUAGCCCAGAGUACUGGAAUUGAGACAGAGCUGGGUUCAUUCCAGAGGGCCAUAGGAAUCAAAUCAAAACAAAACAAAACAAAAAAGAGAGGAGAUCUGGAAAGGCAUUCAGAAAGUGAAAAGUAAUAUUAGAGAGGAUCAAGAAGUAGCUGGGGGCAGGGGAACUUUAGAAAGACUGAGAGAGCAUUAAAAGAAAAAAAGGCUUCCAAUUUGGAACCAAAAUCAAUGUCUUACACCUUGAUGAUAAACUUGAAAUUUGACCUCACAGUGAACAUAGAUAAAGCCAUUCUGACUAGUAAUUACCCAAAGUUGACAAGGCAAGACUGCAGAACCAGUCGCUGUGGUAUGUGAAUUA